rnacentral:rRNA from 1 species
CUAAACCAUGCACCGAAGCUGCGGCAGCGACACUUUAGUGUUGUUGGGUAGGGGAGCGUUCUGUAAGCCGUUGAAGGUGUCCUGUGAGGGGUGCUGGAGGUAUCAGAAGUGCGAAUGCUGACAUAAGUAACGAUAAAGCGGGUGAAAAGCCCGCUCGCCGGAAGACCAAGGGUUCCUGUCCAACGUUAAUCGGGGCAGGGUGAGUCGACCCCUAAGGCGAGGCCGAAAGGCGUAGUCGAUGGGAAACGGGUUAAUAUUCCCGUACUUGGUGUUACUGCGAAGGGGGGACGGAGAAGGCUAUGUUGGCCGGGCGACGGUUGUCCCGGUUUAAGCGUGUAGGCUGGUUUUCCAGGCAAAUCCGGAAAAUCAAGGCUGAGGCGUGAUGACGAGGCACCACGGUGCUGAAGCAACAAAUGCCCUGCUUCCAGGAAAAGCCUCUAAGCAUCAGGUAACAUCAAAUCGUACCCCAAACCGACACAGGUGGUCAGGUAGAGAAUACCAAGGCGCUUGAGAGAACUCGGGUGAAGGAACUAGGCAAAAUGGUGCCGUAACUUCGGGAGAAGGCACGCUGACACGUAGGUGAAGUGAUUUACUCAUGGAGCUGAAGUCAGUCGAAGAUACCAGCUGGCUGCAACUGUUUAUUAAAAACACAGCACUGUGCAAACACGAAAGUGGACGUAUACGGUGUGACGCCUGCCCGGUGCCGGAAGGUUAAUUGAUGGGGUCAGCACAAGCGAAGCUCCUGAUCGAAGCCCCGGUAAACGGCGGCCGUAACUAUAACGGUCCUAAGGUAGCGAAAUUCCUUGUCGGGUAAGUUCCGACCUGCACGAAUGGCGUAAUGAUGGCCAGGCUGUCUCCACCCGAGACUCAGUGAAAUUGAACUCGCUGUGAAGAUGCAGUGUACCCGCGGCAAGACGGAAAGACCCCGUGAACCUUUACUAUAGCUUGACACUGAACAUUGAGCCUUGAUGUGUAGGAUAGGUGGGAGGCUUUGAAGCGUGGACGCCAGUCUGCGUGGAGCCGACCUUGAAAUACCACCCUUUAAUGUUUGAUGUUCUAACGUGGACCCGUAAUCCGGGUUGCGGACAGUGUCUGGUGGGUAGUUUGACUGGGGCGGUCUCCUCCUAAAGAGUAACGGAGGAGCACGAAGGUUGGCUAAUCCUGGUCGGACAUCAGGAGGUUAGUGCAAUGGCAUAAGCCAGCUUGACUGCGAGCGUGACGGCGCGAGCAGGUGCGAAAGCAGGUCAUAGUGAUCCGGUGGUUCUGAAUGGAAGGGCCAUCGCUCAACGGAUAAAAGGUACUCCGGGGAUAACAGGCUGAUACCGCCCAAGAGUUCAUAUCGACGGCGGUGUUUGGCACCUCGAUGUCGGCUCAUCACAUCCUGGGGCUGAAGUAGGUCCCAAGGGUAUGGCUGUUCGCCAUUUAAAGUGGUACGCGAGCUGGGUUUAGAACGUCGUGAGACAGUUCGGUCC